AGGCACAUCCGGGGUGAGGAGGGAAGGGUUCCGCCGGCCGGAGCUGCUGUCCCCGCACGCGCACAGCCUGGAGUCCGCUGUGAUGGGCGAGAACAUGGGGAUGCACGACAUGGGUCACGCGCUAGACGAAGUUCAGCACGUAGAUGACCACAGUAUUAUUAUGGCAGAUCAGACUGUCAUCAAAAAGGUAUUAGGACUGCGAGGUGGCAGGAACCUUGAUCGCUUACAGAGGACUUAUUAUCAGGGG